CAAAGAUGCAGAUCAUAUGUCCAUGUUAAUAUCAAAGCCUCAAGAACUCUAUCUGCCCACGAACAAGAUCAGACCACUCCUGGUUAUUUACCUUCUCUUUUUUAGCCUCUUUGUCUUCUAUUUUUUCGACUAUUAGUUUUGCUGGUAGCUGUCUGCGAUUUACAAGAGAUGGCCAGUUAGUAGUUGAGGCUUGCAGAACAUUGGCAUAUGAUCUGUGUCUACCAUCUCUAUCGCCUGAUAAUUAUUAAUCAUUAAUUGCUGAUGUUCUUUUGCAAUGGCUUUGUCCUCUCUGAUCAGUUGUAUUUUUUUACAGACGUAGGCGUAUUAGUGAAUUACAAUACCAAAUUGGCCAAUCUUCACUCAGUGAAUCAGUCAGUUAUAUGAACUUACUUUUUUCCUCUCAUUAGCCUAGAUUCGUUUUCCGUUUUCUCCUCUAGUUUUUCUUUGCUUCAGUGCUUGAAGUUGUUUGAUCGUAGACGAAAGUUGAUGAGAAGUUAUAGCUUUUCUUGAAUCUAAGAUUAGAUCAGUGCAGUUGCCAUAUUGUUCAGUUGUUUUCAUCUUGCAUAUAGAAAUUGCUCUGCAACAUUGGUUAUAGUGAUGCUUCGCAAUGCAGACAUUGCAGUUCUCUCUAUUAUGAUGCUAUGAUCCUACAUUUGAAACCAAGAGGCCUUGUAACUACUUCUCUGUGUAAUACAGUUUUCUCACGAAACUUUAUUAUAUAAGCAUUAUCAUUUGCUUAGUUCUCAUACAUAUAGAUGUAUUCUCUUAUGGCGUAUUAUUUAUUGGUGGAAGCUGAAAUUGGUUAAUUUUUGCAAUAUUUAUUUGCAAUCUCCAGGAGAAGAGCACAAACUUCUUGAGGCUUGGAGAACAUUGGCAUAUGAUCUGCACAUUUGAUCUCCAUUACUUCUUUUGGUGGAAAGUUGCUAAUCAUCCAACGCUGGUAAUCUUCGACUUCCACAAGAUCCUCUCUGCAUACAAUAUAUAUACGUGUAACGGAUCCGUACCCUUCCUCACUAAAGCUUCUUGUCCCUGCCAGAUUGUUUGUAACUAACGGGUUUUCCCUCACUAAUGUCUUCACCACUUCAAGAUCCUUAUUCGCCACAACAACAAUCAACAAAAGAUUGACUGAG
rnacentral:lncRNA from 1 species